rnacentral:lncRNA from 1 species
CGCCCACUGGCUGCUCCCACCAGCCCAGGCACAGAGGGGAGCUACCCUCAGCCCUGGGGCUCUUGUCCCCUCUGCAGAGCUUAACUCCAGGCAGCACUGCCCAGAGCCCCUCCGACCCACGUCCGCUGGCCAUGUGCACAGCCCAGGCCUGGAGAGGGCUUCGGAAGUCCUGUCCACGCCAUCACACCAGACCCCGGGCUGUACUCGGGAUCUCUGCCUGAGGUUCAGGCCGUGGUGACCAGCGAAGCUGACUCCGCACCAGCAAACCCAGCUCCUCCCUAGAGGGCAGCCCCCCCAGCGAGCUCCCCACAGACCUGCCCUACAGACUCAACUCCCAGGGCCUCGGACACACUGCGCCUCUCAGUCAGCUCCAGAGACACGCGGAGCCCCGACGACACCUGCCCACACUCCUCACCAGGCCAAGGCGAAGGAUCUCCCAGCGUCACUCCUCAGCUGUAAAUGGGUUCACGGCCUUGGGUCCGUAGGAGAGGCAGGAGGUCCACGUGCACCACUCAGAAUACCAGUGGGCACAUCAUCUGGGUUCAGAUAACUGUUGGAGAAGUGUCCGUUUGCUCUCAAGACCGCCCUGCUACCGUCCACUUCCUUCCUGGUAAUGGUCUUAAAAAUGCUUGUGUGGUGCAAGAGGCCCUGCAAGAUGAGAGCCCCCUAGGCCUGUGCUCCCACCCUUCUCCAGAGCGGCCCAUGCUCCAGAUCAGGUGGUUGCAGCUCUACCUGUUGUUGAGUCUCGUCCCCUUUUCUCCCUCCUGAGAAGCAG